rnacentral:rRNA from 1 species
UAUGUGAUCGUCUCUCGCAUAUCAAUAAGCGGAGGAAAAGAAACUAACAAGGAUUCCCCUAGUAACGGCGAGUGAAGCGGGAAGAGCUCAAAUUUGAAAUCUUAAAGGGUUUCCCUUUACGAAUUGUAGUUUAAAGAAGUGUUUUCUGUUGAGGUUUUGGUAAAAGUUCUUUGGAAUAGGACAUCAUAGAGGGUGAGAAUCCCGUAUUUGACCUUUACUUUCAACUUUGUGAUACACUUUCAAAGAGUCGGAUUGUUUGGGAAUGCAGUCCAAAAUGGGUGGCUAAAUUUCAUCUAAAGCUAAAUAUUGGCGAGAGACCGAUAGCGAACAAGUACCGUGAGGGAAAGAUGAAAAGAACUUUGAAAAGAGAGUUAAACAGUACGUGAAAUUGUCAAAAGGGAAGCGUUUGACACCAGUGUUGUUUUUCUGAAAAUCAAUUAAAGAACUGUUUAUGCUAAGUUGUUUAGACUUUAUCAGCUAUCUGUUUAGUUUUGAGCUUUUCUUUAAUGCACUUUUCAGUUAACAAGUCAACAUCAAUUUCUUUUGCUGUAAAAAAGCUUGAGGAAGGUGGCUUGAGAUUCGUCUUAAGUGUUUAUAGCCUCUUGCCUAUGCAGUCGGAGAGAUUGAGGUCUGCAGCGUAGAUCCUUCGGGGCUAAAUGCAUUUGUGCUAAGUUAUAACAUUUUAUAGACAACUUGUUGACUAUGAUUUGUCUUGUAGCUUACUCGCUUAUGUUAUUUUACCUACGCUUAGGAUGUUGAAGUCAUCGUAUCGCGC